rnacentral:rRNA from 1 species
GCUAUUUAGGUUAGAGUUUGAUCAUGGCUCAGGACGAACGCUGGCGGCGUGCUUAAUACAUGCAAGUCGAACGAGGUCCAUCCGGUAGCAAUACCGGUGAAGACCUAGUGGCGAACGGGUGCGUAACACGUGAGGAACCUGUCCCGAAGACUGGGAUAACACCGGGAAACCGGUGCUAAUACCGGAUGCCUUCAUUGGAUCGCAUGACCUGAUGAAGAAACGAAUUUCGCUUCGGGAGGGCCUCGCGGCCUAUCAGCUUGUUGGUGGGGUAACGGCUCACCAAGGCAACGACGGGUAGCCGGCCUGAGAGGGCGACCGGUCACACUGGGACUGAGACACGGCCCAGACUCCUACGGGAGGCAGCAGUGGGGAAUAUUGCGCAAUGGGCGGAAGCCUGACGCAGCGACGCCGCGUGAGGGAUGACGGCCUUCGGGUUGUAAAGCUCUUUUGGCGGGGACGAUGAUGACGGUACCCGCAGAAUAAGCCCCGGCUAACUUCGUGCCAGCAGCCGCGGUAAUCGCC